rnacentral:lncRNA from 1 species
UAGUUUUUCAUAUUACACUAAGUUGUGCUUUGAAAAUUCUAGGUAAUUUAAAUUCUGUCUUUUCUGAAGUGUACUUAAAAUAUGGUCUGCCCAUGAAGGGCAGGACCUGUGAGGGUACAGAAUAUUCUGGCAAGGUUGCUACUCAGCCAUUGCGCCACACUAUCAUUGAUCUGAUGGACUCGUAGAACUAUUAACAUAUGUAUGUAAGCAGUGGCACUUGGACAUCUUCUUCACCCAGUUUCUCCUUGCAGGUCAUUACUGAACAAAUGUGCUGUGACAGAUGCUGCUUGGGGAGAAAGGCCUGUUUGAUGUGCACCAUGGAGGAUUUGUGUUCCUAUGCUAGGAGACUCUCCUUCUCAGGUAUGAAGCGGAAAUUUACAGGUAAAUACUUGCUCAGCCCUCUGAUUUAUGCCAGCAGGAUUUGGUUUACACCCUGAUUUCCUGCAAGGGAAUUCCCCUUCUCUUCCAGAUAAAGCAAUGAAGAAGGAGCAGUAAGUUUGCUAGCCAGCCUUGUAGAAACUUCCUCCAGACUAUACAGUCAUUAACAUAUGCAGAAAUAAAUCAGCAGGAUGUUCCCGCCCUUCCUCCCCC